rnacentral:lncRNA from 10 species
CAGCAUGGUCCCUGAAGGUGGCUGAUGUGAAAAUGUUUGGUGAAAUAUAUGACCACCUCGGGCACCAUGGAGGUGUGAAUGGUGGUGACGCUGCCCCCGCCUCCCUCCUCAUACCCCCCCGCCCCGACUCUGUCUGCACCCAGGGGACUUCCAGUUUCAGCAAGUGCCUCCAGAAAAGUUGUGCCAAUUCUUGUGACAGAUGGAAGAUUCUAAAAGCACCUCCAGAGUGCGUUAGACACAGAUAUGAGAUCAAGUGAGCUGGCUUCUUGUUCUUCUUGUCAUCUCUGACACCACGCAAGAUCUUACUGAUCUAACUCUCUGAGUCUCGGUAUUUUCAUCUGGGAAACGUGCUUAGGAUCUUAUGCAAUGACUGACAUCUCUUUUAGGUGACGAAUUUGUGAAUACAGAUGUCCAGAAAGCAAGGCACUCCUUAAAGUGUAUUUAAGAAGUUUACUUAAAAUAGAACAGACAGACCUUUUGCGAUCUUUCAAAUGACCAGGAAAACUUGUUGGAUGAAGUGAAGAGAAAUCUCAUGCCUGCUUCACGAUGUAUUGUGAGUUAUUUUUUGUCUACUAUACUUUCUACAUAUCCAUUUGUUAGUUUAAUACACAUUUAUUGGAAAGCGCCAUGGGCAAGGUUGGGUUUUGGGGAGACAGAAAUUCAUUGUUUUGG